rnacentral:lncRNA from 1 species
AUUCCAAAGAUAGCAUUCAUUAAUGAUGCGGUUUUAUAUCCCUUUCAGAUAUUUUGAAUGGAUGUCAACAGUUAACAAAAACUUAAUAAUUAAUUGGAGUAUGCUGGCUUGCUCCUAUCCUCAAAGCACUAAUCAAAUAGUCUUGAAACUUAGCAGAAUCUACAUGAUAGAUUCUUUUGAAAUGACUAAAGGAAGAGUGGUGGUAGAUUCUUUAGAGAAUCAUACAAAAUGAAAUUGUCAUGCUGCCCUCCCUUGCUAUAUUGAUGUCUGAUUUUUCAGAUCAAUACUAACUAAUCCAAACAUAACAUUCGGUGUUUGAUUUCUGUCUGACUGUCACUACCUUGAAGAAUAUCAAUAACAUAACAUUCAGCAAUCCAAACAGAAGGCCAGUAGGCCACGCGCAUACACAGACAACAGUAUAUAAGGAAAAUACUUGUGGUGUUUCUGGAGGUAUAGCGGCAAACCCUGCACUAAA